ensembl:misc_RNA 7SK 7SK RNA
AGAUUUAGUGCUGAGGAUGUGACAUCUGUCACCCCAUUGAUCGCCAGGGUUGAUUGGCUGAUCUGGCUGGCUAGGCGGGUGUCCCCUUUCUCCCUCACCGUUCCAUGUGCAUCCCUCCUGUCCCUCCCAAAGCUGCGCGCUCAGUCGAAGAGGACGACCUUCCCCGGAAUAGAGGAGGACCAGUCUUUGGUCAAGCGUAUACGAGUAGCUGCUCUCCCCUGCUAGAACCUCCAAACAAGCUCUCAAUAUUUAGUGCUGAAUGGGGGGACAGGGGCAGUAUCCUCUGCAGCUUAAUCGUUAUCUGGCAAAUCAUUUGCAUGCCUUCCCCA